rnacentral:rRNA from 1 species
UCGAGAAUCUUCCGCAAUGGGCGCAAGCCUGACGGAGCGACGCCGCGUGGAGGACGAAGGCCUUAGGGUUGUAAACUCCUGUCACGGGUUAUGAAUGGCGUACGGUUAAUACCCGUGCGAUUGACGUAAGCCCGAGAGGAAGCACCGGCUAACUCUGUGCCAGCAGCCGCGGUAAUACAGAGGGUGCAAACGUUGUUCGGAAUCACUGGGCAUAAAGCGCACGUAGGCUGUUUCGUAAGUGUGGAGUGAAAUCCCACGGCUCACCCGUGGACGUGCUCCGCAUACUGCGAGACUCGAGGACGGUAGGGGAGAGCGGAACUCCUGGUGGAGCGGUGAAAUGCGUAGAUAUCAGGAGGAACACCGGUGGCGAAGGCGGCUCUCUGGUCCGUUACUGACGCUGAGGUGCGAAAGCUAGGGUAGCGAACGGGAUUAGAUACCCCCGUAGUCC